UAUAGGAUUCACAUGAGCCAGACCAAAGUCAGAGCGUUAGCCAAGAACCUGUAGAGGCUUCCCGUGAAGCUGCAGUUGUUCAGGAGGGGAACAAUGAGAAAGCCAAAGACAAAGAUGCAAAAGAAAAAGAAAAGUGUAAGGAUCCUGAAAAAGAGAAAGGAAAAGACAAAGAUGCUGAAAGAAAAAUAGAAAAUGAAAAGGAGAAACUUAAAGGACUAGAGGGGACAAACUUGGAUGGUAUGUUGCAGAGGCUUCCAGGAUGUGUGAGCCGAGAUCUAAUUGAUCAAUUAACUGUAGAAUUUUGUUAUUUGAAUUCAAAAUCAAGCUUGUGAGAGCCUUGUUCAAUGUUCCCAGGACAUCUCUUGAACUGCUUCCGUAUUGCUCUCGUAUGGUUGCCACACUAUCCACUUGUAUAAAAGAUGUUUCUUUCAUGCUCUUACAACUGCUGGAGGAAGAGUUCAACUCUCUGAUAAAUAAGAAGGAUCAAAUGAAUAUUGAAACAAAAAUACGUAAUAUUCGCUUUAUUGGGGAGCUCUGCAAAUUCAAAAUUGCUACACCUG